rnacentral:misc_RNA from 1 species
GAGAACCUGAAAUUUCAUUACAUGCUGUCAACAAUAUGCAACAUUCUCAAACCAUGCAAUUGCAAGCUCUAAUUGGAAAUUAUUCUUUGACAGUCCUGGUAUAUUCAGGAAGCACUAAUAAUUUCAUUAGUGCAGCGGCUGUGACUCGAUUGGGAAUUCCAAUUCACCAGCAAGCAGGGGUCAAGGUUUCGGUGGCUAAUGGAGAAAAGGUUCCAAGCAGAGGCAUUUGUAUCGCAAUCACCUUACAGGUUGAUAUAGAACUUUUUACCACCGAUUUUUAUGUAAUUCCCUUAGGUGG